rnacentral:rRNA from 2 species
GUUGACCUCGGAUCAGGUAGGACUACCCGCUGAACUUAAGCAUAUCAAUAAGCGGAGGAAAAGAAACCAACAGGGAUUGCCCCAGUAACGGCGAGUGAAGCGGCAACAGCUCAGAUUUGGAAUCUGGCCCCCAGGGCCCGAGUUGUAAUCUGGAGAGGAUGCUUCUGGCGCGGCGCCUUCCGAGUUCCCUGGAACGGGACGCCGGAGAGGGUGAGAGCCCCGUACGGUCGGACGCCUAGCCUCUGUGAAGCUCCUUCGACGAGUCGAGUAGUUUGGGAAUGCUGCUCAAAAUGGGAGGUAAAUUUCUUCUAAAGCUAAAUACCGGCCAGAGACCGAUAGCGCACAAGUAGAGUGAUCGAAAGAUGAAAAGCACUUUGAAAAGAGG